rnacentral:rRNA from 1 species
UACGAAGGGGGCGAGCGUUGUUCGGAAUUACUGGGCGUAAAGGGCGCGUAGGCGGCCUACUAAGUCAGACGUGAAAUCCCCCGGCUUAACCUGGGAACUGCGUCUGAUACUGGAAGGCUUGAGGAUGGGAGAGGGAUGUAGAAUUCCAGGUGUAGCGGUGAAAUGCGUAGAUAUCUGGAGGAAUACCGGUGGCGAAGGCGGCAUCCUGGACCAUUACUGACGCUGAGGCACGAAAGCGUGGGGAGCAAACAGG